rnacentral:rRNA from 1 species
UACGUAGGUGGCAAGCGUUGUCCGGAAUUAUUGGGCGUAAAGCGCGCGCAGGCGGUCCUUUAGGUCUGAUGUGAAAGCCCACGGCUCAACCGUGGAAGGUCAUUGGAAACUGGGGGACUUGAGUGCAGAAGAGGAAAGUGGAAUUCCAAGUGUAGCGGUGAAAUGCGUAGAGAUUUGGAGGAACAUCAGUGGCGAAGGCGACUUUCUGGUCUGUAACUGACGCUGAGGCGCGAAAGCGUGGGGAGCAAACAGG